rnacentral:rRNA from 2 species
UACGGAGGGUGCGAGCGUUAUUCGGAAUUAUUGGGCGUAAAGCGCGAGUAGGCGGGGAUGCAAGUCUGAUGUGAAAGCCCUGGGCUUAACCUGGGAAGUGCAUUGGAAACUGCAUUUCUUGAGUACUGGAGAGGAAGGGGGAAUUCCCGGUGUAGAGGUGAAAUUCGUAGAGAUCGGGAGGAAUACCAGUGGCGUAGGCGCCUUUCUGGACGGUUACUGACGCUGAGACGCGAAAGCGUGGGGAGCAAACAGG